rnacentral:lncRNA from 1 species
CAAUUUUUAGAUUCUUGCUCAUAAUAUUGAUUGUAAUUAAGCUACGAGAGACUUAAAAGUUAGUACUUUUCUUAAAGAAAUUAGUAAAACAAUUAGGGUUUUGGAUCACAAGAAGAGCAUAUUUCUUAGUACUAAUUUUAUAAUACAGAUACUAUAAGUAAGGAUGUGAAUAUUGGCUAAAUUGCAGGGAGCGUAAAUUAAAAAAAAAAAUGUUGGUAGGUAAGAGCUAAAGCUUAAAAAUGAAGUAGCGAAACGCACCUGCUGGCUUGAGGAAAUACAUGGACCGAUAUAAAUAUUUUUUAUAUUUUAUAUUCAGUUUUUAUAUUUCAGCUGUACAAAAGAAGGCUUGCUAAUUAAUCUGAACUGCUGGCAUUGAGUUCUUUAUGACUCAUAAUUAAUAAAUUAUGAGGUAUAAUAUAUGAGUAUAUUACUCCAUUAACUAUAUAAGUAAUAACUUAUAAGCUAACUCGUAUGUAAACAUGAUUUUGACCGAUUUUUUUUGCCAAAAUGAGCAAACGAAGAGCGUUAAAAAUUUGAAAAUUGAGCAACUUGUAUUUAAAAUUUAAAGGAAUUAAUGUUUCUUUAUAUUGAUAAUAAUUUAUUAAUAUAUUUUGCUAUAUUAUAUCGACAUAGCAAGAUUUUAUAAAUACUUUCUUCUGUUAAUUUUUGACUUUCAUCAGUAUUGGUAGUAAAAGUACUGAAAGACCGUUCAAUGUCCUCAUUAGUAGUUGGAGCAAAUAUGAAGUGGGGGAGAUCUUCAGGAGCCUUGUUAAAUCUAGGUAUCUCAUCAUCAGUUUCACUGAUUAUACGUCCAAACUUUUGCAUAAACGGAAGAUCAGGACUUCAAUAUUUGGCGCAAAAAUAUUUCACCAUUGUUGCAAGAUUCAAGGGGGAUUAUUCAAGAGUCAAUUUUGCGCCAAGUUUAUCCUCCCUCUAAUUGGUUGUUGUCAGAAUCUUGCUCACUUACAUAUCCGAUCAUGUAAUCCUACUCUUAAUUUCAUAAAAUACAUAGUUUUACCUCUAAAACGAAAAACUAAUGAAGUAAGGUUUUUGCAAGUGGAUUUUCCCUCGAAAAAUAUCAUUAACGAAACAUCUAACGCUUUUGUGUAAUCCAGGGAGUACGUUAGUAUUGGAGUGUGCAAACUGCAAUAUAUUUUAGACAUUCCUUUAUUCAAGAAGUUGUAUUACACUUUUUCAUAUAGAGUAUGAGUAUUUGUUAUAAAGACCAAUUAUAAUGUAUUGUUGUUUAAUAACUUUUUGUCUAGAAAAAGUUUAAAUGUAAUAGAAUACGACUUGUACAUAAUGGCGAGAAUCCUUUUUACUUAUUAGUUAUUACUGAUUUUUUUAGUCAACAUAUCCUAAGACAAAUUAACACCAGGACCGACCAUAGUCCUUAGCUCUCAGAGACCAGUGGAUAUAUUGGAUAACACAACAGAUACUUUUUCGAGUAUGCAACUAGGGAAUUUAAAUAUUAUUGUAUAUAUGGUUGUGCUUAGUUCUAUGUCUAUCAUAUCUAUCAAUGACGAUUCCAUUUUAGAACUCCAGUGAUUCAUUGAAUAUCAGUUUGAUUCAACCAUCAGCUCCUGCGUUUCAUAAUCAACAAAACAAUUAUUAUUUCUUGAAAUAUAUUGGAAAACGUGAAGAAAUAGUUUCUAGCUUUUACUUAUAUAAUUACAAAUCGUCGGCAUUUAAAUUUUUAAUAUUAUUUAAAAAUUGCUAUAAACUUUUUUAAAGUUUUACCUUAAAAUUAUCAAUAAAAGCUAUAUUUCUACAUGUAAUUACACA